AGAUUGAACGCUGGCGGCAGGCCUAACACAUGCAAGUCGAGCGGUAGAGAGGUGCUUGCACCUCUUGAGAGCGGCGGACGGGUGAGUAAUGCCUAGGAAUCUGCCUAGUGGUGGGGGAUAACGUUCGGAAACGGACGCUAAUACCGCAUACGUCCUACGGGAGAAAGCGGGGGACCUUCGGGCCUCGCGCCAUUAGAUGAGCCUAGGUCGGAUUAGCUAGUUGGUGAGGUAAUGGCUCACCAAGGCGACGAUCCGUAACUGGUCUGAGAGGAUGAUCAGUCACACUGGAACUGAGACACGGUCCAGACUCCUACGGGAGCAGCAGUGGGGAAUAUUGGACAAUGGGACGAAAGCCUAG
rnacentral:rRNA from 1 species